CAUUCGCUCGCGCCCUCUCGUCCUCCGUGCGCACACACACACACACUCAUACACGCGCCCGCGCCUUCUUUGUCGUUUCCGUAGUGCGAGCGUUGUAAAUGUUUGUUUUGUUUUGUUGUCAUCUGCUGCGCAAGAAGCUCUCGGUCGGUCGGCUGGGUGGGUGUGUGUGUUGGUUUGUGGCGUGUCCUGCAGUCGCAGUGCCGUGCUUGUUGUAAUUGUUGUUGACGAAAAGUGGACCACCCGAAUCCAUCUUCUUCCGCCCGACCCUGAUCGCCGGCGAUCCACAUCCACAAGACGACAUCGAGAAUUCUCCGUCGCAGCCGCGGGCCACACACGGGUUUACCGAAGGAGAUGUUCUGCAGCAUCGGCAAAGCGUCCGUCGGUCCAACUUUACCAUUCAUGAAUGCAGUUUCGGGUUGAAGUGCCACCAGCAGCUCAUCGCGACCUGUACUCGCUUGGGGAGUGAGUGUUUCUAUUCAGUGGUUCCGUGGCACACAAACCAAACACGGCAAACAGUGACAGCAAGCGACGCGGCAGCCGCGUAAGGAUGUUCUCCAGCAGUGGACGGCUGCUGAAGCGGCUGGCCGUGCUGGAUUUCGAUCACACCGUCUGCGAACACAACACGGACGUAGUGGUGCGCGAUCUGCUCGGGCCGGGCGGGGUACCGCCGGACGUGCAAAGCAUACUGCGCUCCUGCGGCUGGAUCCCGUACAUGCAGCGCGUCUUCCGGCUGCUGCACCAGGGCGGCUUCCAGCCGAUGGACAUUGCGUCGGCGAUACGCGGCAUACCGGAGGUGCCCGGGAUGAAGUCGUGCAUCGGCAACCUGGUGCGGCACGGGUUCGACGUGAUCAUCAUAAGCGAUUCCAACUCGGAGUUCAUACGGCUGUGGAACGAUUUCAACGACAUCGGCUCGUACAUACACAGCGUGUUCACAAAUCCGGCCCGGUUCGAUGGCAGCGGGCUGCUGGAGCUGCGCCCGUACCACUACCAGACGGAGUGCUCGCUCAGCUCGAAGAACCUUUGCAAGGGCAAGAUAAUGGAAGAGUUCCUGCGCCGGCAGCACGACGAGCGGCAGGUCGAUUACGAGAAGGUGUUCUACGCCGGGGACGGCAAGAACGACGUGUGUCCGAUGUUGCGGCUCGGCAGCAAUGGGUACGCCUGUGCCAGACGUGGCUACUCCUGCCAUGAUGCGCUGCAGGGUGCCAUCGGGAAGCUGGAGCACCCGUACGUGGCCAAGGUACUGCAGUGGACGGAUGGGCACGAGCUGAACGACCUUAUAUGGACUGAACUGGAGGACUGAUCUUUACAGCGCCGUACUGUUUUCACCCUGCUCAGCACACCGGUUGCCGAAAUGCUAUUGCAUGUGUGCCGGUGUGCUGUGGUUGGCAUUUUUUACAGACUCCAUAAUGAUGGGAGAGGAGCAAGGAGGCUGGAGUGUUGAAAGGGAGUGGUGGGGUUUGUUUACAUUAUGUACGAGAAACGUCAAACGGGCUGCGAUUGCACUGGUUUACCUCAUCGUUGCGGGAAGCGAACGCGCACAAUAAUGUCGACGGUGGCCAAAUUAACUUUCCUUUCCGCCUGUAUCGCGAGUGGCAGUUUAAUCGCUUACGUCCACUACAGUCAAGCCGCUGACCGUGAACGGUUGCACGAAGGAGUACGACGAGAUGUGGAACGGCAACGGCUGAAGCAUCUAUACGCAACUGGUGCAGGAAAUGAUAUUGUCCCCGUUGAAGGACCGCCGGCCACGAGAGGUGCCGGAUCGCAGCUGCAGAGUUGAAUUGUACAGCAAAGAGUUUUGUCGCGGUGGACGGAUGAUAGUAUAGCAAUAAAAGUGUAGUCCAUUUCUUUUUUUUUUA